CCUCUUCUCCUCAACACAUUAUCUUCCUCUUCUUUUCUUCUUCCUCUUCACAACCCCAAAAUCUUUGUGGGUUUUGAUUUCCAAUUUCAGCUCACAAAAUCAAUGUUACAAUUCGUUUUUCAUUUUCGAAUAAAUUCUUACAUGGUUUUAUGAUUUCAAUCUCUUCUAAUUUUGGUUCUGAUUCUGUGAAAAAUUGUUGAAUCCAAUGGUUUUCUUGUUGAAUCCUAUUGCACAGGUUGCUAAUCGUUCAUGACAAUGUGUUUUGUGGUAGAGAGGGUUUUCUGUUUCUAGAAGCUUCUAUCAGAGUUUUUGUUGACAGUGUUGAAAUUAGAAAGGGGAUCAUAGUGGAGUUAAUGAAGGGAGAUAGGGUCUUGCUUGCUUGGCCAUCCAACACAGUCUGAGCCUCAUUAACACAUGGUUAUAAACUGGCUGCAAUUUGUACUACAGUUGAUUACAAUACACACCCUCCUGAUAAAAUUUAUAGCAAUUUCAUUGAUGCACUUCCUGUAGAGGUUAAGACUGAACAAUGGCAGGAUUCGGUGGUUACGGAGGUGGUGACGGUGCCGGAAGUGGAACGAAGGUUUUGAAUGGUGGCUUUGACAAGGUCGGUGGUGGAGUGGUGUGAUUCGCCGUAAAUUCGAACGUUUGUAUGAAGAUCAUGGUGUGAUUAAGCAUGAACUCAUCAACUGUUGAUGACCAAUUUCUAUUUGAGCAAUUAUUAUAAAUAUGAUACUGCAUCUUUUGGUGGAUUAGAGGAGGGGUCACCGUGGUGCACAUCGGCCAUGACAGGAACCUUCGACAUUGAUUAUGAAUGGUAGUGUCUUCCUCUUAUUUGGAGUUAUCUUUUUGACUGGUUGGUCUCAAGCAAUUAUGCGGUGAAAAACCAUGUUAACUGAAGAAGCUUGGUUCUGGAGCUUCUGUAGAUCGCGAGGAAACCAUCCACAAACACACGUUUGGUGACGGAAAUACGCUACCAAACAGAUACGUCCUCUAAGAAAUACGCUUUCAGCCUUAAAAUUUUGAUUAAACUACCUUUGUAUGUUGUGUUAGUUUUAACUUUUAAAGAAUGUAAUUGUAGACUUAAGUUUCAUUCAUGCAAUCUUUGUGUGGUUGGCUUCUACAGGUUGCAAAUGUGAAGCUAUACAUAUGAGAGUUGUUGUCAAAGGGUUCAGCUGAAGUUGUCUACAAUAGAAGAAGUGAUGCAUUUACUGCUCUUAAACGAUAUAACAAUGUGCUUUUGGAUGGAAAGCCCAUGAAGAUUGAGAUUGUUGGAACAAAUUCAGAAUUGCCUGUAACUGCACGAGCGAAUGUCUCUGCAAUGAAUAGGCAGAGGAAGAGGACUUUUGUAAUGACAAUUAAUUAGUUUGGUGAGCAUCAGUAUCUCUUAUAUGGUCUUUAAAUUGGGUUCUCAUGGUAAUGUGGUGGUGCUAUCAAGUUGUGUUGUCUUCAAGUCAUCCAAAGGUGUUGGUUGAGAUUUUGGUGAUGUAUCAAGGUACUGCUCUGCAUCUGCGUUUGGGGUAGCAGAGUUUGUGGUUACUAUUGGAUUGAUUUGUAGUGUUACAAGGUUGGAUUGCUUGCAAUCUGUCCAAUUUUUUUUCAGCUUCUAGCUUAGCUUUGGUUCUAGUUAUGAAGACCGAAAAAUGUCGUGUUUUUUACUCUACCUUUGUUGCUUAGUUUUUGGAUCUACUGCAGGAGGAUGUUCUUCAAAUUCAUUUUUGUUGUAUCUUCCUUUCUACUUAAUGUAUUAUUACAUUUGUGUUUA